GAUGAACGCUGGCGGCGUGCCUAAUACAUGCAAGUAGAACGCUGAAGCUUGGUGCUUGCACCGAGCGGAUGAGUUGCGAACGGGUGAGUAACGCGUAGGUAACCUGCCUCUUAGCGGGGGAUAACUAUUGGAAACGAUAGCUAAUACCGCAUAAAAGUCGAUAUCGCAUGAUAUUGAUUUGAAAGGUGCAAUUGCAUCACUAAGAGAUGGACCUGCGUUGUAUUAGCUAGUUGGUGAGGUAACGGCUCACCAAGGCGACGAUACAUAGCCGACCUGAGAGGGUGAUCGGCCACACUGGGACUGAGACACGGCCCAGACUCCUACGGGAGGCAGCAGUAGGGAAUCUUCGGCAAUGGGGGCAACCCUGACCGAGCAACGCCGCGUGAGUGAAGAAGGUUUUCGGAUCGUAAAGCUCUGUUGUAAGAGAAGAACGAGUGUGAGAGUGGAAAGUUCACACUGUGACGGUAACUUACCAGAAAGGGACGGCUAACUACGUGCCAGCAGCCGCGGUAAUACGUAGGUCCCGAGCGUUAUCCGGAUUUAUUGGGCGUAAGGCGAGCGCAGGCGGUUAGAUAAGUCUGAAGUUAAAGGCUGUGGCUUAACCAUAGUACGCUUUGGAAACUGUUUAACUUGAGUGCAGAAGGGGAGAGUGGAAUUCCAUGUGUAGCGGUGAAAUGCGUAGAUAUAUGGAGGAACACCGGUGGCGAAAGCGGCUCUCUGGUCUGUAACUGACGCUGAGGCUCGAAAGCGUGGGGAGCAAACAGG
rnacentral:rRNA from 1 species